GUGGGGAAUAUUGGACAAUGGGCGAAAGCCUGAUCCAGCCAUGCCGCGUGUGUGAAGAAGGUCUUCGGAUUGUAAAGCACUUUAAGUUGGGAGGAAGGGCAGUAAGUUAAUACCUUGCUGUUUUGACGUUACCGACAGAAUAAGCACCGGCUAACUUCGUGCCAGCAGCCGCGGUAAUACGAAGGGUGCAAGCGUUAAUCGGAAUUACUGGGCGUAAAGCGCGCGUAGGUGGUUUUGUAAGUUGGAGGUGAAAUCCCCGGGCUCAACCUGGGAACUGCCACCAAAACUGCAUGACUAGAGUACGGUAGAGGGUAGUGGAAUUUCCUGUGUAGCGGUGAAAUGCGUAGAUAUAGGAAGGAACACCAGUGGCGAAGGCGACUACCUGGACUGAUACUGACACUGAGGUGCGAAAGCGUGGGGAGCAAACAGGAUUAGAUACCCCGGUAGUCC
rnacentral:rRNA from 1 species